UUCCGUGGCCAUGGAGAGGGAGAUACACCUCUUCCCAUUCCGAACAGAGAAGUUAAGCCCCUCAUCGCCGAUGGUACUGCAGCGUAAGGCUGUGGGAGAGUAGGACGCCGCGGACC
rnacentral:rRNA from 1 species